rnacentral:lncRNA from 1 species
UUCCUUACCAUUUCACAGCUUUCACCAACCACGAUAUUGCAAAGCCAAAGGCAUUAAUUUAGUCUUUUAUUUAAAAACACCAUAUCUCACUUAACUACCAGCUAAAAAUUCACUCCAAGAUUCUGUGACUUUUUAUUGCCUUGCUUUUCAGCUAUUUCUCAUUAAAUUUUUGUUGCCAGAGGAGUUAAAUAUCCUGGAUACCAAACCAUUUAUCCUUCUCUCUGCACUCUACUUUCCACCAGCAGUGGAGUCUAUAAUUUUAUUUAAUUUCCCAGCAAGCAACUGCAGAGUUAUUUCUGAUUCUCUGCAGUUCACAAAUUUUUGAUCAUACCCAACUUUAAAUCCUCUUUCUUUCUUCCUUCUUUUUUCUUUGUUUUAUGGAUCCUAAGUUUAUUAAUUCUGUUGUUCUGACUGUUAUUUUCUUUGUACAAGUCCUUAGGCUACUAUGAGCCAAUAGCAGGACAAAUCUUCAAACCAAAUCCUUCCCCAUUAUGUAAAUAAAAUGAAUAACAUUGAAUUCAUUAUCUCAUCUUUUUGAUACAUCACCUAUAAAAUAAAACUUUGUAGGUCGCUAAACCACACCAUCAAUUUCCUGUUCUGAUCCUCUGCCCCAUACUGAUUACCAAACAUCUCUUCUUACCCAACUCAACCCAUGCAGCAAUUCUGCUCUUCCAGAUACAUGCAUAGAAAUGGUUUGAAUAGAGUUCAUGUCCAUAAAUAAUUAUAUUUAGCAUAUACACCAAAUUUUAUGAUUCCACCCUUACUUAUGAAUUAAUUUGCUAUAGUAGAUUUAAUAAUUCCCAUUACCAACAUUUUAUAGUUGGAUAAAAUAAAAUACAGAGAAUUACAUUUCAAAUUGCCCAAACUAGAUUCUGCCUCUGUAAAUACAUUCAUUUUUUUUAAGUUCUGAAACAUGUAUUUUCCCUUGUCUGCUUUGAAAAGCAAAUGCAGGCUUAACUUUUACCAAUAUACUCAAUUUUAAUUCCUUUACUUCAAAUGACAUUCAAUUUUGGCAGAUAAAUAUGACUUUCCAGUUAUUUCAAAACAUUAAUUUAAUUGCAUGAUUUCACAGCUGAAAUCUAUUGGAGUUCUUUGUUUUUCUAACUCAGGGAACAUAAGUGCAGAGAGAGUUAAAAUUACUUGUUAAGUUACACACUCUUAAUAAAGUACAUCUACUAUGUUUUAUAGGCUGAAACAAUAUUCAGGUAUCCAAUUACCUUUUAUUACUUAUUCUCACUUGGAGAAAUUCUUAUCAAAUAUUAUCUACAUCAUUCUUU